rnacentral:rRNA from 1 species
UACAGAGGUCCCAAGCGUUGUUCGGAUUUAUUGGGCGUAAAGGGCGCGUAGGCGGCCUGUUAAGUCGAACGUGAAAUCCCCGGGCUCAACCCGGGAACUGCGUCCGAUACUGGCAGGCUUGAAUCCGGGAGAGGGAUGCGGAAUUCCAGGUGUAGCGGUGAAAUGCGUAGAUAUCUGGAGGAACACCGGUGGCGAAGGCGGCAUCCUGGACCGGUAUUGACGCUGAGGCGCGAAAGCCAGGGGAGCAAACGGG